rnacentral:rRNA from 1 species
CCUACGGGGGGCAGCAGUAGGGAAUCUUUCACAAUGGGCGAAAGCCUGAUGGAGCAACGCCGCGUGCAGGAUGAAGGCCUUCGGGUUGUAAACUGCUUUUAUAAGCGAGAAAUAUGAUGGUAACUUAUGACUAAGGAUCGGCUAACUACGUGCCAGCAGCCGCGGUCAUACGUAGGAUCCGAGCAUUAUCCGGAGUGACUGGGUGGAAAGAGUUGCGUAGGUGGCAUAAUAAGUAGCUAGUGAAAUCUGGUGGCUCAACCAUUCAGACUAUUAGCUAAACUGUUAAGCUCGAGACCGUUAGGGGUAACUGGAAUUUCUAGUGUAGGAGUGAAAUGCGUAGAUAUUGGGAAGAACACCAGUGGCGUAGGCAGGUUACUGGGAAGGAUCUGACGCUAAGGCACGAAGGCGAAGGGAGCGAACGGGAUUAGAUACCCGGGUAGUC